AGUGAACGCUGGCGGUAGGCCUAACACAUGCAAGUCGAACGGCAGCACAGUAAGAGCUUGCUCUUACGGGUGGCGAGUGGCGGACGGGUGAGGAAUACAUCGGAAUCUACUUUUUCGUGGGGGAUAACGUAGGGAAACUUACGCUAAUACCGCAUACGACCUACGGGUGAAAGCAGGGGAUCUUCGGACCUUGCGCGAUUGAAUGAGCCGAUGUCGGAUUAGCUAGUUGGCGGGGUAAAGGCCCACCAAGGCGACGAUCCGUAGCUGGUCUGAGAGGAUGAUCAGCCACACUGGAACUGAGACACGGUCCAGACUCCUACGGGAGGUAGCAGUGGGGAAUAUUGGACAAUGGGCGCAAGCCUGAUCCAGCCAUACCGCGGGGGUGAAGAAGGCCUUCGGGUUGUAAAGCCCUUUUGUUGGGAAAGAAAAGCAGCAGGUUAAUACCCCGCUGUUCUGACGGUACCCAAAGAAUAAGCACCGGCUAACUUCGUG
rnacentral:rRNA from 1 species